ensembl:ncRNA F26F12.20 ncRNA
ACUUUUGAGCUUUUCAGUCAAAUUGAAUUCGUGUCUUCAAAUGUGACCGACUAGGAAUCCUAAUCAAAUAGGUAUUCAAGAAAAAAAGAGUUGAAAAGGCAGUGAUGUUUGGGAUUUAAAUGAAAAGAAGAAACUAUAAUUUAGAAAAGAAUAGAAAGAUUACAAGAUAAAAAGUGAAACGAACAAAUCCCCAU